rnacentral:lncRNA from 1 species
CGGAGGCGCCCAUUGUCCCGCCGGGGACCGCGCUCGAGUGGACAAUAGCGCAUCACGCCAAGAUUUCUAUCAUCCGCUAUUCCUGAGUGCUGCCAUUUGUGAUUUGAGAGCUCUAAGAUGGUCCUCCAAGUAGCUUCAGUCAAGUCUGAGAAGCAGAUGAUAUCCAACCCAUGGCAAACCUACCUAGAGCUGUGCCGUCCAACGUGGUAUCCGCUAGGCACAUGCGGCUAUUGAGUGCUUGAAACGUGGCUGGUCCAAAUUGAGGUUUGCUGAUUGAUAUUCAAGCUGUGAAAAACAUUCUUCCUUGAACAGAAUCUGGCACAAUAGCAGGCUCUUCAAAUAGCAGGGCUGGCAUCUUUAAAAUUCACUCGGAUUUGUUCAGUGGUUUGCAGCUGAGAAGCAAGACGGGCUGACUUUCCACUGUGUGAAUUUUAAAAACGCUCAGAGGCAAGCGUCUCCUUAAGGAUUAUGCUAUUCUGUGGGCCAUGUAAUCAGUACAUUAUCCAAAUAUAUGGUCUUCUGAUUAUUAUAGUAAUCUAAAAACGGCUAAUUAUAUAAUAG